rnacentral:rRNA from 1 species
GCUGACGACCGGCGCACGGGUGCGUAACGCGUAUGCAAUCUACCUUUUACAGGGGGAUAGCCCAGAGAAAUUUGGAUUAAUACCUCAUAGUAUAUGGCCUUGGCAUCAAGGCCAUAUUAAAGAUUUAUCGGUAAAAGAUGAGCAUGCGUUCUAUUAGCUGGAUGGUAAGGUAACGGCUUACCAUGGCGACGAUAGAUAGGGGCCCUGAGAGGGGGAUCCCCCACACUGGUACUGAGACACGGACCAGACUCCUACGGGAGGCAGCAGUGAGGAAUAUUGGACAAUGGGCGGGAGCCUGAUCCAGCCAUGCCGCGUGCAGGAAGACUGCCCUAUGGGUUGUAAACUGCUUUUGUACAGGAAGAAACACUCCCUCGUGAGGGAGCUUGACGGUACUGUAAGAAUAAGGAUCGGCUAACUCCGUGCCAGCAGCCGCGGUAAUACGGAGGAUCCAAGCGUUAUCCGGAAUCAUUGGGUUUAAAGGGUCCGUAGGUGGAUGAUUAAGUCAGAGGUGAAAUCCUGCAGCUCAACUGUAGAAUUGCCUUUGAUACUGGUUGUCUUGAAUUAUUGUGAAGUAGUUAGAAUAUGUGGUGUAGCGGUGAAAUGCAUAGAUAUCACAUAGAAUACCGAUUGCGAAGGCGGAUUACUAACAAUACAUUGACACUGAUGGACGAAAGCGUGGGGAGCGAACAGGAUUAGAUACCCUGGUAGUCCACGCCG